rnacentral:rRNA from 1 species
AUUGAACGCUGGCGGCAGGCUUAACACAUGCAAGUCGAACGAGUGGCGGACGGGUGAGUAAUGCCUGGGAAUCUGCCUGAUGGAGGGGGAUAACUACUGGAAACGGUAGCUAAUACCGCAUACCAUCAGAUGUGCCCAGAUGGGAUUAGCUAGUUGGUGGGGUAACGGCUCACCAAGGCGACGAUCUCUAGCUGGUCUGAGAGGAUGACCGGCCACACUGGAACUGAGACACGGUCCAGACUCCUACGGGAGGCAGCAGUGGGGAAUAUUGCACAAUGGGGGCGAGCCUGAUGCAGCCAUGCCGCGUGUAUGAAGAAGGCCUUCGGGUUGUAAAGUUCUUUCAGCGGGGAGGCGUUACCCGCAGAAGAAGCACCGGCUAACUCCGUGCCAGCAGCCGCGGUAAUAC